rnacentral:rRNA from 1 species
CAGUCGCCGCGGUAAUACGUAGGGUGCAAGCGUUAAUCGGAAUUACUGGGCGUAAAGCGUGCGCAGGCGGUUCGCUAAGACAGAUGUGAAAUCCCCGGGCUUAACCUGGGAACUGCAUUUGUGACUGGCGGGCUAGAGUAUGGCAGAGGGGGGUAGAAUUCCACGUGUAGCAGUGAAAUGCGUAGAGAUGCGGAGGAAUACCGAUGGCGAAGGCAGCCCCCUGGGCCAAUACUGACGCUCAUGCACGAAAGCGUGGGGAGCAAACAGGAUUAGAUACCCCCGUAGUCCCUGUCUCUUAUAC